rnacentral:rRNA from 1 species
AGUGAACGCUGGCGGUAGGCCUAACACAUGCAAGUCGAACGGCAGCACAGUAAGAGCUUGCUCUUACGGGUGGCGAGUGGCGGACGGGUGAGGAAUACAUCGGAAUCUACUUUUUCGUGGGGGAUAACGUAGGGAAACUUACGCUAAUACCGCAUACGACCUACGGGUGAAAGCAGGGGAUCUUCGGACCUUGCGCGAUUGAAUGAGCCGAUGUCGGUUUAGCUAGGUGGCGGGGUAAAGGCCCACCAAGGCGACGAUCCGUAGCUGGUCUGAGAGGAUGAUCAGCCACACUGGAACGGAGACACGGUCCAGACUCCUACGGGAGGCAGCAGUGGGGAAUAUUGGACAAUGGGCGCAAGCCUGAUCCAGCCAUACCGCGUGGGUGAAGAAGGCCUUCGGGUUGUAAAGCCCUUUUGUUGGGAAAGAAAAGCAGCAGGUUAAUACGCCGCUGUUCUGACGGUACCCAAAGAAUAAGCACCGGCUAACUUCGUG